AGCUAAAAUACUCAAGGACGCCAAAGAGAAGGCAGAGAAGACAGCUAAGGCCAUAGCAGCCAAAGCGUCAGAGGAAGUGAAGGCCGCUAUAAAAGACGCACAAGAUGCUUUAGCUG